rnacentral:rRNA from 1 species
AUUGAACGCUGGCGGCAUGCCUUACACAUGCAAGUCGAACGGCAGCACGGGAGCAAUCCUGGUGGCGAGUGGCGAACGGGUGAGUAAUAUAUCGGAACGUGCCCAGUCGUGGGGGAUAACGCAGCGAAAGCUGUGCUAAUACCGCAUACGAUCUAUGGAUGAAAGCGGGGGAUCGCAAGACCUCGCGCGAUUGGAGCGGCCGAUAUCAGAUUAGCUAGUUGGUGAGGUAAAGGCUCACCAAGGCGACGAUCUGUAGCUGGUCUGAGAGGACGACCAGCCACACUGGAACUGAGACACGGUCCAGACUCCUACGGGAGGCAGCAGUGGGGAAUUUUGGACAAUGGGCGCAAGCCUGAUCCAGCAAUGCCGCGUGCAGGAUGAAGGCCUCGGUUGU